CCUACGGGAGGCAGCAGUGGGGAAUAUUGCACAAUGGGGGAAACCCUGAUGCAGCGACGCCGCGUGAAGGAUGAAGGAUUUCGGUAUGUAAACUUCUAUCAGCAGGGAAGAAAAUGACGGUACGUGACUAAGAAGCCCCGGCUAACUACGUGCCAGCAGCCGCGGUCAUACGUAGGGGGGCAGCGUGAUCCGGAUUUACUGGGUGUAAAGGGAGCGUAGAGGGGGUGGCAAGUCUGAUGGGAAAACCCGGGGCUCAAACCCGGGAUUGCAUUGGAAACUGUCAGGCUAGAGUGUCGGAGAGGCAAGUGGAAUGCCUAGUGUAGCGGUGAAAUGCGUAGAUAUUAGGAGGAACACCAGUGGCGAAGGCGGCUUGCUGGACGAUGACUGACGUUGAGGCUCGAAAGCGUGGGGAGCAAACAGGAUUAGAUACCCGGGUAGUC
rnacentral:rRNA from 1 species